UAGGCCCGUAUUUUUUUACUGUAUUUUCUUAUUUAUCAUCAAUAUUUGAGCUUUUUAGUGGUGUUUUUCGUACUCAGCUUUCAAAUUUACCCUAUGUACAUCUAUUUCCAGUCAUUUUGUCUUAAUUUUUUUACCAGUUAUCUUUCUCUCUCUUGCCUAUAGGAACUGUCAAAAUGGUGAUAUUUCCUUCAGUAACCAGCUUUUUUCCCAUCAAAACACCCCUAUUUUCUUUGUAAAAUAUCAAUUAUGGGGUAGGGCUUGGGACCCUUUUUCUGAAGAAAUUACCAGUAUUAUUGGUUAUCAGUGGAAUUUUCUUCAUCGUUAACUAUGAAGGCUGGAAUAAGAACAUAGUAGCUAUUGAAUUCGUUUAAUUGGAAAUAUGGAACGUAAAGGUUGUGAUUUAACAAGCGAAGAACAAAAGGCUCGAGUUAAGAAGUACAAUGACAGUCGAAGAAAAGGAAUGAAAUCUUUCGGACUAUUUGCUAGUCGUGCGGAUAACUCAGGAGACGGAAAAGUUCUGAACUUGUAGCUCAAAGUAGGAAUAAGCAAAAGAGAGAUGAAAUUUUUUAUCGGUGGCCAGAUAUCCAUGAUCAACCAGCUCAUUCAUUUACGGGGUCACCUGGGACUUGCAAGCUAGGGAGCGAGGUUACAACGCCUUUGACUAUUAUAAUGCAAACGCCCAGCUGAAGCAGGUCAUUGACCAGAUUGCUUCAGGAUUCUUCCGCCCAAGCAACCCCGAAGAGUUCUGUGAUAUCUACAACAACCUUAUGUACCACGAUUGUUUCUUCUGUCCGGCUGAUUAUGACGACUACAUGGCCGCCCAAGAAAGGGUUAACGAGGCCUACAAGGACCAGAGCGUCUGGAUGAAGAUGUGUAUCCACAACAUUGCUUCAUCUGGUAAAUUCUCCAGUGACAGGACUAUCGCCGAAUACGCAUGUGAAAUUUUGGGUGUUGAGCCUACGUGGGAUAAGUUCCCUGCUCCUCACGAGCCUAUUGAGGAAGGCAAAUGAAAUGUUGAAGCGUCUAUUUUGUCACAUUUGCAUAUUAUAGGAGGAAAAGUUUGCAAAACGUGUUCACAGUAAUCAUCACACAAUCAUGUUACAACUCGACUAAUCUUCUGUAAGUGGAAGAGUUGUAACCCGAUUGAAUAAUGUGUGGGAAAAGAACGAUCUUGUAAAUCUUUUAAAGCCGUCUCUCCAGACUGUUGUAGCCACAAUGUCAUUUAUUGUUGAUGUUUGUUAUUUUUCUUGAAUUCUAGCUUCGAUGUUGUUCUGUGUCUGUCACAGAAAGAACUUUAAUGUGAGUUUCCACUUCUUCUCUUACCAUUUUAAAACUAUUGUGGUCAUUUUCAAAAUCCCACCUUGUUUUCCUUUCUUUGUAGUCAAAUGUAAUGAGAAUGAGGAAAUAGAUAUAAAUCCGCAUUACAAAUCUCACAGGA